rnacentral:rRNA from 1 species
UACGUAGGGGGCAAGCGUUGUCCGGAAUCAUUGGGCGUAAAGCGCGCGUAGGUGGCCCAGUAAGUCCGUUGUGAAAGUCAAAGGCUCAACCUUUGAAAGCCGAUGGAUACUGCUGGGCUCGAGUCCGGAAGAGGCGAGUGGAAUUCCUGGUGUAGCGGUGGAAUGCGCAGAUAUCAGGAGGAACACCAAUAGCGAAGGCAGCUCGCUAGGACGGUACUGACACUAAGGCGCGAAAGCGUGGGGAGCGAACAGG